AAGGACAAAGACAGAUGAGUCUCGAACGGGAUGCCCUCUAUUUUCAAGGAUGAAGUUGAAGACCUUGCUAACUGUCCGGAAACAAGCAAUAUUGCAACAUCAUCUGCUCUUGAUCUACGGUGAACGGUGGAAGAUUGUGGGUCGUUCUGUAGGCCGGCAGGAGGGCACUGACAGACGUGGCACCAGCAAGAGUCCUGUGAAAACAAGCUGGUCUGUAAUGAAGGCAUACCGCGAGGGGACUGAAGAUCUGGUUUAAGGAUAUGAUUAUCAGCUGAGACAGAGGGCAGGUCUAAAUAUCAUUGUGCCUAUCCAAAAAUGUCCCCACAGCCCCUAACAAGAAUAUUAAAUAGAGAAAAGUCUAUGAUUA